GAAUAUUGGUCAAUGGGCGCAAGCCUGAACCAGCCAUGUCGCGUGCAGGAAGACUGCCCUAUGGGUUGUAAACUGCUUUUAUAGUAGAAGAAACACAUCUACGCGUAGAUGUCUGCCAGUAUACUAUGAAUAAGCAUCGGCUAACUCCGUGCCAGCAGCCGCGGUAAUACGGAGGAUGCAAGCGUUAUCCGGAUUUAUUGGGUUUAAAGGGUGCGUAGGCGGGACUGUAAGUCAGGGGUGAAAUACUGCAGCUUAACUGUAGCAUUGCCUUUGAAACUGCCGUUCUUGAGUACAGUUGAGGUAGGCGGAAUGUGGUGUGUAGCGGUGAAAUGCAUAGAUAUACCACAGAACGCCGAUUGCGAAGGCAGCUUACUAAGCUGUUACUGACGCUGAGGCACGAAAGCGUGGGGAUCAAACAG
rnacentral:rRNA from 1 species